AUGCCGGCCGCCAUUUUGGAUUUUCUUUAAUUGAACGCAUGCGCAGCGUGAAUGCCUACGUGUCUACUCUGCCCAGUGUAAUUGUUGAGGAAGGUUGUAGCCACACGCAUAAAGUGUGUUUGUUGAAGCAUAGUUAGUAGAGUCUCCCUCUACUGACUAUGGCUAAGGCUAUGGUUCAUCUUUGUGUGCCUUUUGCAAACCCAAUAUCUUACAAAAUGAGCCAAAAAGGGAAGCCAUCCAACGUUGGAACUGGUUCAUAAAAUCAAGAUGACGGAUAGAUGGUGGCAAAGUUACCGUUACUUACUCAAUCUGAUGUUGUCUGCAAUAGCGAGCACUCCACUCAAGCCUUCUAGCACUGGGUUAACUCUCUUCUGGAAAAUUCCUGAGGAGACUGACAAACGGAAGAGCAGUCAGUGCCAAUGAUAUCUCCCAAACGGUGUUGAGAACAUAGUGAGCAGGCUGGACUCCUGGUCUAGAACGCAUUGCCUAUAACCUGAAUGCAGGUCAAGUGUGGAGAAGACUUUUCCUUGAGAUAAUUCUGGGAGAAUUUUAUCCAGUAUCGGUAUCUGAUAGGUUUCUCUUUUCCAUACCUCGUUCAAUGGUCGGACAUCAAUGCAUACUCUCAGGGCCCCCGACCUCUUGGUAGUGACUGCAAGCUGCUCACCCAUGGUGUUGGCUCUUCUACCGGUGCCAGGAUCUCUUUCUCAACAGAUCGAUUUAGCUCUUCUCUCAGGUCAUCUUUGAGUGCUGUUGGAACUCUUCGGGUUGAAGUGGUGACAGGUUUAAUGUUGUUGUCAACUUCUAAGUGAACUUCGCCAGGUAAUGUUCCCAAUGGUCGGUCAAAUACAUCUGAAUAUCACUUUAUCAGCUCUUUAGCAAUUAUCUGCUUAACCUGCAGUUCAUUUCUUAGGGGCGAGGGGCAUGGUCAUACUGAAGUUUUCAUCACUAAUAGUUAUAAGUUCCAUUCAUUGUGUGGCUCCUACUCCGAUAAACGGUGUUAGAUAAUUCUUGACGACAACAAACUCCAGAGAGUACUUCUUUCAUGUUUUGGGAUUGCACAUGGUGAUCCCAUGGUGAUUCGUGCCAUCCCGAUGGGUUUGAUGUGUGAUCCAUUCCACAUUCGCAAUUACUGUUUUCAUGCUCGAAUUGAUUUUUUGACCUUCAGUGUGUUUCGCCAGUAUGAUGUUGAUUCAUGCUCCACAGCCAAUCUAAAAGUUGACCUUUUUCUUAUCAAUUAACAUCUCGGCAUAAAUUUCUUUGGCAAACUGGACAGCAUGGACAUCAGUUUCCUGAGAAUCUAGAGCAACUCCAGUGAGAAAUGCGAUGUGGCUUUCUUCUGAUGAGGGUACCUCUGCCAUUUCAGAGAUGCUGUGAACUUCGCGUGAGUUGGAUUUCUUGCAGACACUCCUGAAGUGGUUGCGGCUACCACAUCGGGAGCAUUUCUGUCCCCAAGCAGGACACUUAUCUUUCUGUAGUAUGUUUAGAAAAUAGUCUGCAAAUGGUCUGGAGCGGAUCCAGGGGUGGUUCGGGUGCUUUGGUGAUUCAGAUUGUGUCAGAAUGAAUAGUUUUUUAAAGGAGUGUAGGCUAUGAAUAUUUUGAUAGCAGUGAUAUUGAUUUGAAACAAGUCUAUUACAGCAUCUAGGCUUCCAAGGCAUUUGAUGCAAAUCUGUUAACUUAGUCACCUACUAUUCUGAAGAUAGCUAAAAGUCAUAUUGAUAAUUAUAUAAAGUGGAUAAAGCCUAAUAUCAACCUUCAGGAUAAAAAAAA
rnacentral:lncRNA from 1 species